ensembl:lncRNA
AUGAUCCAUCAAUCAAGAAUAAUGUUGGAUCAGUGUUUCAAUAUUUAUAUCCUUUAUUAGAUGUACAUGUGGUUUGGUUAUUUGCCUUUUGGUUGAAAGUACACUGAGAGAGGACUUUUUUAUUAGUGCUUCUAAUAGUAUUUUUUUUAAUCUAAUUGAGUACAAUCUAUUUGUGUAUGAUUGUCAGUCCAAAGAAAGAGAGAGGAAAGAGGGGAACCUGAGGAGAAAGUACAAGGUCAGGAAGAACCAGAGAGGGAGAGAAAGGAACAGAGAGGGAGAUUGAGAAUGAGGACAGAACAGAGAUGGAACAAGAGCAGAUAUAUCCUGUAGGGACAUGAGGAGGAAACAGUGGCAAAAGGAGUUAUGUGAGGCUGCUAAAGGCAGUGGAUCCUUCAUCAGACCACAGGCAACAAUAACACAUGUACCAGUUGUUGAACUGCAGAGAUGGACAGGAACAGGAGAGUGAUAGAUGAGAUGAGGAGAUGGAAGGAGGAAGAGAAGCAAAGAUCAGAUACCAUCUCUCCUAUGGACUUUGUAAAUCUGCAGUCUCAGAUCAACACAAUCCUGCCCUUCAGCACUAUCAGCAGCAGGAGCAGCAGCAACCUCUGAAAAGCAGCAUUGUACCCCAUCAGGAAGGAAGCAUCAAUAUCAGAUGAGAAGAUUUAUGUCUUUCUUUUGUGUCCCCCCAACAAGUUGAUUUGUUCACAUUUUUACAUUUUUACAUCUUAAUUUUUAAGUGACAUGUGCAUUUUGAGUUUAUACACUAUGUAUAUAAGGUGACUGUUCCCUUUAGCAGUAUUUUUGUGUGGUGUGUUUUUCUGUCUUAACAAAAGGGGAACAAAGGUGUUUAAGUUCACCUAGAAUGAUUUGUUUUGAUUUUCACAUGAUCUUACUGAGGUGAUUGGAAUUGAAACAUGCAUUCAUUUUUUUUUUUUGCUGGAAAAGCGUGAAAAGAGACCUUGAAAGUGCUUAACGUGCUUGAAUUUGACCCUGAAAAAGGCGUAUGAACCCUGUUUAACUCUGUCCCACAUUUAGUUAGCAAUACUCUUACUGUUGUGUAUACCACCUUCCCUUAGUUGUACACAUUUUAUUCAAAAAUGCAUUCUUGAAAUGUCAAACACCAUUUUGUCCUCACUAGAUAUAAAUUAUUCGUUGUUUCCUCUUUUACUGUGAAUGGUGCUAGAAGUGUUGCAGUGACAUGAUAAAUGUAGCAAUGCAAGGCCUGCCCUUCAGUUUUUCCAAGUAGGUCCCAUAUACUGAAGCAUUGUCGAGUGAGACAUGGGCAUUACGGAAAUGAUAAUCGUAUUCCAUGUGUGCAUGCAAGCUGC